UACGUAGGGGGCAAGCGUUGUCCGGAUUUAUUGGGCGUAAAGAGCGUGUAGGCGGCCGCACAGGUCCGUUGUGAAAACUGGAGGCUUAACCUUCAGACGUCGAUGGAAACCGUGCGGCUAGAGUCCGGAAGAGGAGAAUGGAAUUCCUGGUGUAGCGGUGAAAUGCGCAGAUAUCAGGAGGAACACCGGUGGCGAAGGCGGGACUCUGGGCCGAUACUGACGCUGAGGAGCGAAAGCGUGGGGAGCAAACAGG
rnacentral:rRNA from 1 species